GCUCUGCGCUUCGUGGCCGGGAGCACAGGCGGCGGCGGCGGCCAGUAGCGACAGCACUGGAGGCUUAGCAGCCGUCGGUGAGGGAAGAGAGCGAGAACCGGCCAGCCAGGGAGCACAUUGCAAAAUUCUCGUCCACACCAAGGUGAUACAUGCAAAUAAUCGGAUCGCGAUAUAGAGAUCUAUAUGAAAAUAUUCGGACCGCGAUUAAUAGUCACGAUCCGAUAUAGGGUUCUAUGUGUAAAUAUUUGGUUCGCGACUAUGGAUCGCGAUCCAAACUGGGGGGUAAUUGAAAAAUCUUGGGUCGCUUCGAGGGGUUAUUUGCAGUUUUAUUCCUUCUCGGCGAUGUGGUUCCUGGCGAGCUCCCGCCGCCGCCGCCCCAGCUCCGGUAGCCCCGCCGCCAAGCGUAUCGUGCUCGCCUCCGUCAAAUCCACGCGCCCAGCCGCUUCCACCAAUCCAACUUCCCCUUGCGCGGGCCCCCCUAGGAGAUGCUUCCGCGGCGUCGCCGGAGCACCGCGAACGCGGCGGCGGCCAGCUGAGACGGCGAGGGAUCCAAUGCAACCACGCGGCGGCAGCCGCCGAACCCAUGCUCCCGUCCGGCCGCCCCCGCUCCGUCGCUGGUGGCGAUGGCCGGCGAUGGCUGGCCACUUGACCUACAUCCACGAGCCCCACGAGCUCAUCGCCUCCUCCACCACCGCCUCUGCCGGCUCACCCUCGGGCUCCGCGCACCUCGAGGUCAACUUCCCCGAGGUCCUCCCAACCUCCUCCACCACUACGUCAUCCCUUCCCCCAAAGGUUGCGCCAUGAGCUAAUAUUCAAUGCAGCUUGGAAUCUGCUCCCCAUUCUUCGCACAGGUGACCGAGAAGCCUACAUACGGUUCUUCCUGGAUGCUAUGGUUGCAGUAGAAGAUCUACUAUAUUGGCAUCAAUGCACGAUGAGAGUCCUAGUGGAGUACCUCCUGGAAGGUGUUUAGUUAAAUGGCUCUGUGGAUCCUUCUUAGAUAUAUAUUAGACUCACCUGGGCCUUAUAGUGAGCUCCCAGCCAGUUGCCAACCUAAGAUGGACCUGGCGUGCUGGUUGAUAUGACAGGCGAUGCGAGAUGGCAUCCAUUGGCCAUUUUGCUGAUUAAACUAGUUAACAAGUGUUCUAACAGAUGGGACCUUGUAUGUUGAUGGGCUUGUUAGCAUGUCAUUUGUUUCUGCUGCUUGUUCUAUCCUCUGCUAUGGGGAUGGUUCUCUGCACAAGGUUGGCAUCAACCUCUAUGAAUAAUUUAACUUUUGGUUAUCCCUGUGUAUCUUUAACUUGCCUGUGUUCGAUCUGUUGCCAUUGGUUUUGCACGUUUUGUUGCCACAGUGAUGACUCCUGAGAUUCUUCCUCUUGAAAAUAUUAUUCAUUCAAUCACAUGCAUUUUGGGCCAAGAUGUUGCUGAACUUUCUGAUACCAGGUAUUAUCAUGUUAGUACUCAUUGCUUCCCGUUAUUGAAAUUACUGCCCCCAUUCGAGGAGAGAUAGGUUGGAAUUGGAUCUUGGGUAAAAUAUUGAGUCCAAAGAUUGUUAUGCUAGCUUGUACUUUGCAUAUGUUUUCUUUAACUGUUUUGCAUGUGUUUUUGGUAAUGGAUUUACAUGCUAUCUCUUUUUGUUGUCACGGGAAUGUUACCUUACUGGCUAUUACUGCCCUUUUAUGAUGCUCCUGACCCUGUGUAUACUAUAGCUGAGAACAUCUCUCUGUAAAACUUAUAAAUUAAAAAAUUAGCUGUCAUUGGUAAGUGGCUCGGUUAUGCAUUUUUUGGUCCAUUGCGUCUGUAGUCACAGUGUGAACAAAAAUAUUCGCGGAUGUUUCAUAACUUCCCAAUUUCAUAUUCAAAUUUGAAUCUAGCUGUAACCAUUUUCUGUAUGAGAACUGAUCCACAGCUCCAACAUCAGUAUUGUUUUGCUGUACUGCCCAACUGGGAAAAAAAAUCAAGCAUGUAAAAGCUAGAUUAACUAGAAGAAGAGAUCAACAAUUGUUUUGUCAACAAAUGCAUGCAAGCAUAUCAGCUGUUUGACUCCAUGGACCUGCAUGUUCAAUUAAUUUUCGUUUCUAUCAUGUGCUGCAUGGGCAUCAUCGUCCUUCCAAGCUGAUCUUAUAACCAAAUUUCCUACUAUUUUCUCCAACCUGCACCAACUUAUGUGAAGAAUGUACUUAGAAAUCGUACAAUUUCAAUGCUUUUCAGAUGCCACAAAUGCACUGAUGAUUACAUGAUUUUUUUUUCUCUGCUACUCUCAGAAAAUGUCUGUUGCUCAGGAUGGAGCAUCCAUUAUAAAAUAACAAAUUAAGAAUACAUGGGAAUCUCUGUAUUAGUUAUCUUAUGUUUGAUGUCAGGUACAGAGUCGUGAACAAAUGGCCUCUGCUUGACUUCAGUUAGUGUGUCAAGUAUGUAACCUUGCACUCAAGCUCAUGAACCUCGCAGGUCUCGGCUAUAUAGUAUGUAGUUGUUUCAAGCACUUUACACUCGAAUAACAUUUAAUUUGCACUCUAUGCUGUUGUUACCUUUUAAAAUCCUAAAUCAAUGUUUCAGUUAAUUGCAGUUAUAAUAUUUAGUAAUCUUUGGUCGUGCAUCUAAGAACAAAUGUUUCAGUUAAUUGCAGUUUAUAAUAUUUAGUUAUCUUUGGCCCUGCAUCUUAGAACAGCUACCACUAUGAUUGGUACAACUUAAAUUUCAGGGAUUAGAGGCUCAGGGCCUGUCUGAAAUGCUGGAGUAAGGCACAGAAGUAGGAGAAAAAAGCAAGUUCCAAGUACUUGUUGAUCAUAAAAGGCUAUGAUCAUUGUGAUUAUAUAUUUCCUGAAGCUGGUGAGUGGUGACAGUGGAAGGAAACAAAUUCAGAGUGUGAGCAGGUGCAGCUCACCAAUGUGGGAAAACAAUGUGGAAACCAGGAAUCCUGAGCUUUUUUCUUACGAGUGUUGUGAACUUUGGAUAAGAGUGUUCGUUUACUUCGUUGGUUACCUGAUAGCUGUUGAUGAUGGCACUGGCCCAGCUUUUGCAUCGUUUGCCAUGUUUUCCAUGAUGUUCACAACAAUGGUUAUUCUUGUUAACUGCAAGUCUGCAAAAAUUCUCCAUCCAUCCGAACAAGAACAAGAGGAUUAGCCUGCAACGAGGAACUUCAUGCCAUCAUGGCAUUAUUUUGUCAAUCGAAGUUUCUGAUUUGGUAUUCUUGGUCAAGAGUAAACCUUUUUUUUAGGGGAAGUCAAGAGUAAACUGGUUCAUGGUAGCAUCGAAUAAUGUAAACUUCAUGGUUGGAGAACUCUUUAGCAUCAAGUGUUGUUGACCUUCAGGUUCUCUACAUUUUAUUUGUGUAGGGGAUCACUUGACUUCGCUUAAAUUUGUCGGCUUGAGAGCACUAA